CGAUCCUACGGGGGGCAGCAGUGAGGAAUAUUGGUCAAUGGACGAAAGUCUGAACCAGCCAUGCCGCGUGCAGGAAGACGGCUCUAUGAGUUGUAAACUGCUUUUGUACAAGGGUAAACCUGAAUACGUGUAUCCGUUUGAAAGUAUCGUACGAAUAAGGAUCGGCUAACUCCGUGCCAGCAGCCGCGGUAAUACGGAGGAUUCAAGCGUUAUCCGGAUUUAUUGGGUUUAAAGGGUGCGUAGGCGGUCGGAUAAGUUAGAGGCGAAAUCCGGGGCUCAACUUCGG
rnacentral:rRNA from 1 species